rnacentral:rRNA from 1 species
GCCCAGCACCGAAGCCUGUGGUCAUUUGAUCACCAGGCAAUGUGGUGUUCAGGUCGUUCCGCGGAGGCACUGCUCCACCCUAAGUCCAAUAAUGAGAACGGUUUCUCGGACAUGGCCCAUGGAGGGUGAAAGGCCCGUGGGGGUGGAGAUCAGGUUGGCCAGUGCUGCUCUGGGGAGACCUUGGAGUCGGGUUGUUUGUGAAUGCAGCCCAAAGCGGGUGGUAGACUCCAUCCAAGGCUAAAUACAACACGAGUCCGAUAGCGAACAAGUACCGUGAGGGAAAGUUGAAAAGUACUCUGAAGAGAGAGUAAACAGUGCGUGAAGCCGUUCAGAGGUAAACAGAUAGAGUUGAACUGUGAGUUCCGAUGGUUCAGCUGGUGACUUUGGUUGAGCUUGGUCAAAAUGGUUGGGCUUUGAGGUCUGUGUAGCAACAGGUUCUUGCCUUCGGGUGAGAAUGCGCGAUGCACUCGUCGAGUGUUGUGCGCCUCAGAUGUCCCGAGCCGAGUCGCCAGUGCAUUCCGUCGGGACGGUCACCACGACCGGCACUAUCGUCUGUCUUUUGUGGUUAAACCGUGCGUGCUUCGUCCUUGUGGCUUUGUGCGUGCGGGAUGGCAGGUAGCUCAUUGGUUUGUUUACAAGCCUUUGGGUGAAAUAGCUGACUGCAAUUUGACUGUGCGUUGUGCCGGGGACGGCGGCUUGAGGUGUGUGCGUGUGUGCUAGUUUGCUGGCGUAUCCGUGUCAGGUUGCUCAGUUGCUCACCUAGUGGGCCAAGCGGCGACUGGGAUGCGUUCGGCGAGCGGUCGCGCUCGAGACACCGUUGAAGGG